AUUGAACGCUGGCGGCAUGCUUUACACAUGCAAGUCGAACGGUAACAGGCCGCAAGGUGCUGACGAGUGGCGAACGGGUGAGUAAUGCAUCGGAACGUGCCCAGUCGUGGGGGAUAACGCAGCGAAAGCUGCGCUAAUACCGCAUACGAUCUAUGGAUGAAAGCGGGGGGACCGUAAGGCCUCGCGCGAUUGGAGCGGCCGAUGUCAGGAUUAGGUAGUUGGUGGGGUAAAGGCUCACCAAGCCGACGAUCUGUAGCUGGUCUGAGAGGACGACCAGCCACACUGGGACUGAGACACGGCCCAGGACUCCUACGGGAGGCUG
rnacentral:rRNA from 1 species